UACGAAGGGGGCUAGCGUUGUUCGGAAUUACUGGGCGUAAAGCGCGCGCAGGCGGCUAUCCAAGUCAGUGGUGAAAGCCCGGAGCUCAACUCCGGAACUGCCAUUGAAACUGUGAGACUUGAGGAUGAGAGAGGUGAGUGGAAUUCCCAGUGUAGAGGUGAAAUUCGUAGAUAUCGAGAGGAACACCGGUGGCGAAGGCGGCCAACUGGACAGAUACUGACGCUGAGACUCGAAAGCGUGGGGAGCAAACAGG
rnacentral:rRNA from 1 species